rnacentral:rRNA from 1 species
UUAAGCGACUAAGCGUACACGGUGGAUGCCCUGGCAGUCAGAGGCGAUGAAGGACGUGCUAAUCUGCGAUAAGCGUCGGUAAGGUGAUAUGAACCGUUAUAACCGGCGAUUUCCGAAUGGGGAAACCCAGUGUGUUUCGACACACUAUCAUUAACUGAAUCCAUAGGUUAAUGAGGCGAACCGGGGGAACUGAAACAUCUAAGUACCCCGAGGAAAAGAAAUCAACCGAGAUUCCCCCAGUAGCGGCGAGCGAACGGGGAGCAGCCCAGAGCCUGAAUCAGUGUGUGUGUUAGUGGAAGCGUCUGGAAAGGCGCGCGAUACAGGGUGACAGCCCCGUACACAAAAAUGCACAUGCUGUGAGCUCGAUGAGUAGGGCGGGACACGUGGUAUCCUGUCUGAAUAUGGGGGGACCAUCCUCCAAGGCUAAAUACUCCUGACUGACCGAUAGUGAACCAGUACCGUGAGGGAAAGGCGAAAAGAACCCCGGCGAGGGGAGUGAAAAAGAACCUGAAACCGUGUACGUACAAGCAGUGGGAGCACGCUUAGGCGUGUGACUGCGUACCUUUUGUAUAAUGGGUCAGCGACUUAUAUUCUGUAGCAAGGUUAACCGAAUAGGGGAGCCGAAGGGAAACCGAGUCUUAAUUGGGCGUUAAGUUGCAGGGUAUAGACCCGAAACCCGGUGAUCUAGCCAUGGGCAGGUUGAAGGUUGGGUAACACUAACUGGAGGACCGAACCGACUAAUGUUGAAAAAUUAGCGGAUGACUUGUGGCUGGGGGUGAAAGGCCAAUCAAACCGGGAGAUAGCUGGUUCUCCCCGAAAGCUAUUUAGGUAGCGCCUCGUGAACUCAUCUCCGGGGGUAGAGCACUGUUUCGGCAAGGGGGUCAUCCCGACUUACCAACCCGAUGCAAACUGCGAAUACCGGAGAAUGUUAUCACGGGAGACACACGGCGGGUGCUAACGUCCGUCGUGAAGAGGGAAACAACCCAGACCGCCAGCUAAGGUCCCAAAGUCAUGGUUAAGUGGGAAACGAUGUGGGAAGGCCCAGACAGCCAGGAUGUUGGCUUAGAAGCAGCCAUCAUUUAAAGAAAGCGUAAUAGCUCACUGGUCGAGUCGGCCUGCGCGGAAGAUGUAACGGGGCUAAACCAUGCACCGAAGCUGCGGCAGCGACGCUUAUGCGUUGUUGGGUAGGGGAGCGUUCUGUAAGCCUGUGAAGGUGUACUGUGAGGUAUGCUGGAGGUAUCAGAAGUGCGAAUGCUGACAUAAGUAACGAUAAAGCGGGUGAAAAGCCCGCUCGCCGGAAGACCAAGGGUUCCUGUCCAACGUUAAUCGGGGCAGGGUGAGUCGACCCCUAAGGCGAGGCCGAAAGGCGUAGUCGAUGGGAAACAGGUUAAUAUUCCUGUACUUGGUGUUACUGCGAAGGGGGGACGGAGAAGGCUAUGUUGGCCGGGCGACGGUUGUCCCGGUUUAAGCGUGUAGGCUGGUUUUCCAGGCAAAUCCGGAAAAUCAAGGCUGAGGCGUGAUGACGAGGCACUACGGUGCUGAAGCAACAAAUGCCCUGCUUCCAGGAAAAGCCUCUAAGCAUCAGGUAACAUCAAAUCGUACCCCAAACCGACACAGGUGGUCAGGUAGAGAAUACCAAGGCGCUUGAGAGAACUCGGGUGAAGGAACUAGGCAAAAUGGUGCCGUAACUUCGGGAGAAGGCACGCUGAUAUGUAGGUGAAG